CCAGCACCCCGAGUGGUCGGGACGAUUAUUGGGCCUAAAGCAUCCGUAGCCGGUUUUACAAGUCCUCCGUUAAAUCCAGCUGCUUAACAGAUGGGCUGCGGAGGAUACUAUAAGACUAGGAGGCAGGAGAGGCAAGCGGUACUCAGUGGGUAGGGGUAAAAUCCGUUGAUCCAUUGAAGACCACCAGUGGCGAAGGCGGCUUGCCAGAAUGCGCUCGACGGUGAGGGAUGAAAGCUGGGGGAGCAAACCGGAUUAGAUACCCGGGUAGUCCCAGCUGUAAACGAUGCAGACUCGGUGAUGGACUAGCUUUAUGCUAGUCCCAGUGCCGCAGGGAAGCCGUUAAGUCUGCCGCCUGGGUAGUACGGUCGCAAGACUG
rnacentral:rRNA from 1 species